AUGUAGUGAUUCAAAAGGUUCAGAGUGCGAUAACCAUAGGACAGUGAAGAUUUGUUUUUUUCCGUAUCAAGAGAGAUUUGAGAAAUUGCAAAUUUUUUUUUUGAUGUUUUUACCAUCCUUGUGGGAGACUUCUCUCAUGUUCCCGCAUGGAACUGGAGCUGAUAGAGGGAGUUCAUCCGAGCUCUCCCCGGAUUGG